CACUAAAGUCAGUUUGUAUUUGAGAAAGGAAACACCAAAGUCAUGCAUGUCAGAUUGGCUGUAGAGCUAGAAAGUUAAAGAGGGAAAAAAAAAAAAGCAAAGGAGAUCUUUAACUUUAAAAAGAAAGAAAGAAGGAAAGAAAAUUGAAGAAAAUGGUGGGUAGUGGGGGCCUCGUGGUUUUUGGGUUCUCUUCUUUGAAAUGAACUCUUUUUACUCUCUACGGCCAAACAAAUAUAAAGUUUUUUUGUCUUCAUUGUUGCCAAAGUGAAACGAGGAUACUUAGUUAAAAUUCAAUCACUAGUUUCAAUAAUUUAAAAGUUCCUUUUUUUUUUUUAAUAUUUCUUAUGAGUCUAUAUAUAAGCUAAUGAUAUAUAGGUGAAGUGGUGGUGCUGGCGGUGUUGGUGGUGGUGGUGGGGGCGGUGGUGCUGAUUCAAAGGAAAAUAGGGGUAGGGAACAUUCUGCGAUUUGGCGUUUUGUGGGUUAUGUAUAUAGGCAGUGGUGGCUGUCAAAAGAUUGGAUGAGGAACAGCUCAUCUUUUUUGAUUGGAAAUUUUUUGGUUUUGUUGGGUGGAUUUGGUGGUAUGUGGGGUUCCUCCUUUUGGGUUUUGUCCUGCAGGCAAUAGGCCCCCUCUCAUGCACUGAACGAUUGUGUUCUGUUCUUUUCUGUUGUAUAGCCGUGUGCCCAUUGCCAUGCAUAUUUUGAUUCUUCUUUGGUACUUGUCCAAGUGCUAAGAGAGAGAGAGAGAGAGAGAGAGAGAGAGAGACCCUUGCUUUAGGACAUUUUUGUGCUGUUUCUACAGAGAUAUCUUCAAGGUGCUUGUAGCUUAAAUUCGAGAGCUGCAAGGGUAUUUUGAUUUGUAAAGGAUUUUGGAUUCUUGAAGCUUUGUGGACCAGAAGAAAAGGGUUUACUAGUAGUGUGUGUGAGAGAGAUCCAUUGAUAAAAAGAGAAGCAAAAACAAGAAAAAGGAGCAUAAACAAAUCAUAUAAGGACGGUGGUGUCAGUUUUGAGCAAGUGGGGUUGUCUCUCAUGUUUUAGUUUAUAUAAAUGUUUAAAGACAGUUUUUAGGCAUUGUCUCCUUUGUUAACCUUCUUAGUCCUGAGUCUUUGGACUCUGUAACCAAUUUAGGAAGCAAACUUACCUCACCUCAUCAAGAAUCAAACUGCCCCUAGUAAC